rnacentral:misc_RNA from 1 species
UUAACUAUUAUUAUAUAAACUCAGACGACACUAACAUUCAGAGUUUCAGGGGCCUCUGGCGGGCGCACACCAGCCGGAGCCGGUGGCCUUGCGGCGGCCCGCCAAAGCAACAAAGUACAAAAUAUGCAAAGGGUGGGAGGUCUACCCUUGCGGGCACGAACUCUGUAAUGAUCCUUCCGCAGGUUCACCUACGGAAA